GCAUUGGUGGUUCAGUGGUAGAAUUCU
rnacentral:piRNA from 11 species